AUGGGCCUUAACUAUCAGAUUGUGUACAAGAAGGGGGUUGAAAAUUCAGCUACCGAUGCUUUAUCCAGAAGGCCCAAUUCACAAGUGCUUAGUAUAUUCAGAGCUCAGCCUGUUUGGAUGGAAGAAAUCAUUGCCAGUUAUGGAAAUGAUGAUAAGGCAACUAAACUAUUGCAACAGCUUUCUGUUGAUCCAAAGGCAAAACCUAACUACCAAUUAAUCCAAGGGAUCAUUAGGUAUAAGGGAUGUAUAUGGAUUGGUAAUCAUCCUGAAUUGCAUGCCAAAGUAUUCUCUGCAUUCCAUGGUAGUCCAGUGGGGGGGGGGGGGCAUUCAGGAUUUCCUGUCACUUACAGAAGAAUACACUCACUCUUUCGAUGGGUUGGCAUGAAGCAAUUCAUUAAACAUAAAGUGUAA
rnacentral:rRNA from 1 species